ACGGGUGAGUAAUAUAUCGGAACGUGCCCAGUCGUGGGGGAUAACGCAGCGAAAGCUGUGCUAAUACCGCAUACGAUCUACGGAUGAAAGCGGGGGACUCGCAAGAGCCUCGCGCGAUUGGAGCGGCUGAUAUCAGAUUAGCUAGUUGGUGGGGUAAAGGCCUACCAAGGCGACGAUCUGUAGCUGGUCUGAGAGGACGACCAGCCACACUGGAACUGAGACACGGUCCAGACUCCUACGGGAGGCAGCAGUGGGGAAUUUUGGACAAUGGGCGCAAGCCUGAUCCAGCAAUGCCGCGUGCAGGAUGAAGGCCUUCGGGUUGUGAACUGCUUUUGUACGGAGCGAAAAGGCUUCUCCUAAUACGAGAGGCUCAUGACGGUACCGUAAGAAUAAGCACCGGCUAACUACGUGCCAGCAGCCGCGGUAAUACGUAGGGUGCGAGCGUUAAUCGGAAUUACUGGGCGUAAAGCGUGCGCAGGCGGUUUUGUAAGACAGAUGUGAAAUCCCCGGGCUCAACCUGGGACCUGCAUUUGUGACUGCAAGGCUAGAGUACGGUAGAGGGGGAUGGAAUUCCGCGUGUAGCAGU
rnacentral:rRNA from 1 species